rnacentral:lncRNA from 1 species
AUGGAAACAAGACAUGUUCCUGAAGAAAUGUUUUAUUCAACAAAACUUGCCCAACUUGAGCAUUUUCCAGGGUUAAAGAGAAAAGAGAUUCUGAAAAUUAUGCAAAUUGAGGGGUACUUCAGAUCUGGAAAAUAUAACCUGACUUUGAACUCCGGAGAAGCACAACAGAGCCACUACAUCUGGUUUCAGGACUAUGUUUUCAAAUUUAGACUGCUUUUCUUCACAAAUGUUAUGAGACAAGCUGGUCUGUUGAGGAAAAACAAAGGGAACAAAAAGUCUUUCCUCUGCUCUUUACCUCCUCGACAUAAUGGCAGUACCAGGUCAAUUUCUGGUUUACUUCAGAGGUAUUCAUAAUUUCAGGCUGGGAGCAGGAGCUCAGCAGCCCCGGAGAGGCUGAGCUGUCCUGAUUGUGAGCUGCACGUAAUCUUUGGUGUGCAACUGUGGGAGUGCUUCCAGACUGCUCUGGAAUCUCUCCUCUUAUGGACCACCCAGUAACAUCUUGCUUCUUGCUCAGCUGUGUGCAGAGACUGGUAGGCAUCCACACCUUCUAAAAAAAAGGUAAAAAACCCAUGAGGGUAACAUGAGAAAAACAGGUAGUCAAAGAGAAGAGGGGAAAAUAAGGUGAUUUUCUUUCCCUGGUGAGUUAUGUCUCAGAAAGAUAUUUAGGUGAUCAGUAAAAAAAGAAAAAGAGAAUUUAGUCAAAUUCCAUUACUCUUGAAGUUGAUCAAAUUUAUGUAGAAAAUAAUUAAUGAUGAGAGCUGCAUUAUAUCUUAAGACAACCAGUUAGCUACUUCUCUUGAAAAACCAUAUUUUGUUACAAGUAAUUCUAAAAUAUGCAUCUGGUAGUAUGUUAAAUUUGGGGUUUUUUUCACUUAUUUAUUGUGAAAUAAGAGAAAAAAAUAAAAUAACAAAAACCCCCCCA